rnacentral:lncRNA from 1 species
CCUAUGCACAACACACGCGUGUCUGCUUAGAUAUAACUCCCAAUACAAUGUUAGACUCAAACAAUAACUUAAGUCUUGAAAACAUAGCAAAUGUUAAAAUAAAAUUGUAUCAGGCCUCUAAUGUAUACGAUUCUAAAGAUUCAAAACAGGAUAAUAUUGCUUAUGAUGUGUACAUAUUAACAUAUAUAAAACAUAUAGUUAGAAUAAAAGCAAAUUUAGCAUUACAUGGUGGUUUAUAUAGUAAUUAUUUUGAAAAAUAUGAAGAAGAUUCUAUAUCUAAUAUUAUGUUAGACAACCUUAUAGAUAAGAGUGAAUUGGAUAAAUGUGAUGAUAAAAAAGGAAAUAAUACUAAUAGUAAUAAAAAUGUUAAUUUUCGAAAUAAUAAAAACAUGUUAAAUAAUAAAAAUAAUGAAGAAAAAGAUGGUGAUGAUGGUGAAAAAAGAGAUUUGAAUUUUUCUAUUAAAGAAUUAUUAAAAAAAUUAAUAAAAUCAUAUAAGAUUCGAGAAAAUAAAAUAUUUUUAGUUACUGGUAUGUUAGGUUGUGGUAAAACAACAUGUGUUACUUUAGCCAUUGAAUAUUUUAAUAAAUUUUUACAGAUAGAAAAAAAUAUGAAAAAUAAAUUUGUAAAAAAACAUGUUUUAUUUUCUGAAUAUGACAAUUCUACAAAUAAUAAUAUUGAUGGUGUUAAUAAGGUUAUGAAACAUAAAACGUAUAAAAAAACACCAUAUACUAAUAAACAUUAUGAUCAUGUAGAUUCUUCAGAUUAUAGUUCGUUACCUGUCGACAUAAACAGUAAUGAUAGUAAUGAUCACCAUAAAAAAAAAUUAAAAAUAAACUACGAUGAACCACUUUUUAGUUUUACACCUAAAAAGGAUAAGAAUGUUAAAAAGGGAGAUAAAAAUACAACUACUAUAGCUAGCUGUAGUAAAAAAAAUACAAUAAUAAAAAAUAAAAAUAAAUAUAACACAUAUGAUAAGAAUAAAACAUCUCCACGUUUUAACAAUAAUAAUGAUGAUAAUAAUAAUAAUAAUAAUAACCAAAUGAAUAAAAACAAAAAUGAUCAUAAUGAACAUGGACAAAAAUUUCAAUUUGAUAUGAAUUUAGACAUGAGUCCAAGAAAAUUAAAAGAAAAUAUAAAAGUUGUAGAAAAUAAAAUAGAAAGUCAAUAUAUACUUAAUAAUAUUCAAUCCAAAUUUUUAAGAAGACAUUAUAUUAAAAAAGUGUUAAGAGAUUUGUGUUCAAUCGAAUAUAUGAUUUUAUGUGCUUUUGCAAGAUUAUAUAAAAAAGAAUUAUUACCUAAAACUUUAUAUGUAAUUAUAUUAGAAAUUAAUAAAUUUAAACAAGCUUAUCCACAAGAACAAAUAACUGGAUUUUCACUUGAUGCUUAUAGAAGAUCCUUUUUCAGAUUAGUAGACUUAGAUAUAAUAGUAUUAUCAUCUUAUUCAUUAAAUCAUUUAAAUAUAAAAAAUUAUAGUAACGAUUUAUUUGGAUUACAUGAACCUACCAAAUUCCCAUGUUAUGAUAUAUUUUUAGAAAAUAUAGACACUUACAACUUAAACCAUAAUUUAAUUCAGUGGGUUAAGCACAAUAUUGAGGUGAUGCAGUAA